GACGAACGCUGGCGGCGUGCCUAAUACAUGCAAGUCGAGCGAAGAGUUUCUGGUGUUUGCCCUGGGACAACUUAGCCGCGCAGGGGUGUGUAACACGUAUAGAACAUGCAUAAUAGUCUGGUAAAACCAUUGGAAACGAUCUCAAAUCCCAGAUAAUAUUAUUCAGCGCAUGGUUGUAGUUUAAAAGUUGGUUUUUCUAACUCUAAGAGAUGGCUUUGCGGUGCAUUAGCUAGUUGGUGGGGUAAAGGCCUACCAAGGCGACGAUGCAUAGCCGACCUGAGAGGGUGAUCGGCCACACUGGGACUGAGACACGGCCCAGACUCCUACGGGAGGCAGCAGUAGGGAAUCUUCCGCAAUGGGCGAAAGCCUGACGGAGCAACGCCGCGUGAGUGAAGAAGGAUUUCGGUUCGUAAAGCUCUGUUAUUAGGGAAGAACAAUUGUGUAAGAACUAAACACAGUAGUGACGGUACCUAACCAGAAAGCCACGGCUAACUACGUG
rnacentral:rRNA from 1 species